rnacentral:lncRNA from 1 species
AUCUGGGACACAUUUGAUUUUUGAGAAGAAAUAGAUUAUCCAUUUAGCAAGAAGUACCGGUUGAGUACUGCCAAUACAAAUACUUUUUUGGGCCUGAAAAAUAGUCUUCCAUCUUUAAUGAUGACCUGGCUGAAAAGAAAACCUUGAACCUCAGGUGGGUGGGCUAGAUUUCUUUUGCAGUCAUAGGGCAAAGCUCUGAAGACAUUUCCAGAAUAUCUCAUCAGCAGAAUGAUUUUAACGACUGAACUAAAAUCUAGAGAAAAUGAUUGAGAAAUGUUGAGUAAUUAGUCUCCAAAAGAUAAGGAUGAGCUUUGGCCUCAAGAUUUUAAAUGACUUGGGACGAGGAGCAGUGGCUCAUGCCUAUAAUCCCAGCACUUUGGGAGGCUGAGAUGGGCAGAUCACCUGAGAUCAGGAUUCAAGACCAGCCUGGCCAACAUGGUGAAACCCUGUCUCUACUAAAAACACAAAAAUUAGCUGGGUGUGGUGGUGCGUGCUACUCGGGAGGCUGAGGCAGGAGAAUUGCUUGAACCUGGGAAGCAGAGGUUGUAGUGAGCGGAGAUUGGGUCAUUGCACUCCAGCCUGAGCAACAGAGCGAGACUCCAUCUCAAAGAAAAAAAAAAAAAAGACAUGGGAUGUGGUAUCCUUUGAAGUACUGAUGGCACAACUUGCCUCUUAGAAGUUCUUGAAGAUAUGGAAGGAGAGCAAAGUGAUGUGUGUUGUAGAAAACAGAUGCCGCUGAUUUGAAUGAAGGUUCAAGCUGGGGCCUCUUCCUCAUCCGUGACAGAUGCAGCAGCGGUGUCACAGAUGUCUCCCAAAGGCACCGUCUCUCUGUGGAUGCUGCCAGUCUCCAAGACUGAGGAUGGCGAUGUCAGCCCUACUGCUGCCCAGGGCCACUGCUGUUUUAUAUUGCUGCCACCACCAUCAACAUAGCCACCACCAUGAGGGGGACCAAUAAUGUCAACGGGUUUCAGCAUUUUCUCCAUCAUCACCCUUGGGACUUGGAUGUGCUUUGACUGGAUUCUAGCACAUAGUAAGAGCUUAAUGAAUGUUCCAGUGAAUGAAGUAAUCUCCUGGCUUAUAUGCAAGUUGGGGACAAGGAUCUUUCAAAGAGGACUCCUGGAAUACUUUGUUUCCUGGGAAAUGGAAGUCCAGUUUCUUAAUUACACGCAACUUCUUAAUUACAAAUGUAAGCGGAGAAGAUGUCAGCGGAAGUUAACUUGUCAAAGAAGGAUCCAUCACACCAAUGUUUUGCUGAUGUUCCAACUAGUAGAGAAAGGUUCAGCCUGUGAUCUCGAUUUCUUUGAGGAGAACCCUCUCAAUCCUACAAAAGCUUGCGUCAAUCUAAUUUAAAUGGUCUUGACGGUCUUAAAUUAUUGAGAAAAAU